GGAAGAUCCCUUAGGGCAUCUCUUAGUACUACCAAACCCUGUGAUUAAAGUCAAUGAGAAAUUACAACAACCCAAUCCAAGCAGGACUACAAUUGACCCAGACCCUUCAGGAAUGAAGGUUCACCCCACCAGACGCAUGUAACAUUUGGUGCUGAAACCCAAGACAGGGGACUCCUUCAGAAGACCAGCCCCCUGUCCUCACCCUCAGUCCGGGAGGAGAUCCACCUACGACCUCGGGUCCUCAGACCAGCCCAAGGAACAUCUCACCAAUUUCAAAUUGGGACCCCACUGGAAGUCGGACCAUCCAACUUGGAUUACAGCUGCUCCUAGACCUACUGGAGCAAAAAGCUAAGGCUCCUGGCUGAUUCCUUCCCAGAUCUCCUCGGCUUAGUGGCUAAAGACUGACGCUGCCAAAUCAUCUCGGAAGCCCCCUGGACCAUCACGGAUGCCGAGCUUCGGAUAACUCCUACAGUGGAGGAAGACAGGAAUGUCAGGCCUGUGAGCCCAAAGUAAGCCAUCAUAACCCCUGUGACCUGCAUGUAUACGUCCAGAUGGCCUGGAGCAACUGAAGAACCACAAAAGAAGUGAAACAGCCAGUUCCUGCCUUAACUGAUGACAUUCCACCAUUGUGAUUUGUUCCUGCCCCACCCUAACUAAUCAAUCGACCUUGUGACAUUCCUCCCCUGGACAAUGAGUCUCAUGAUCUCCCCACCCUGCACCUUGUGUCCCCCAUCCCUGCCUGUAAGAGAUAACCACCUUUAACUGUAAUUUUCCACUACCUACCCAAAUCCUAUAAAACUGCCCCACCCCUAUUUCCCUUUGCUGACUCCUUUUUCGGACUCAGCCCACCUGCACCCAAGUGAAUAAACAGCCUCAUUGCUCACACA
rnacentral:lncRNA from 10 species